AGUCGAACGAGAAAGUGGAGCAAUCCAUGAGUAAAGUGGCGACCGGGUGAGUAACACGUGACUAACCUACCCUACAGUGGGGGAUAACCUCGGGAAACCGGGGCUAAUACCGCAUAACAUCGCAGAGUGAAACUCUUUGCGAUCAAAGGAGCAAUUCGCUGAAGGAGGGGGUCGCGGCUGAUUAGCUAGUUGGUGAGGUAACGGCCCACCAAGGCUUUGAUCAGUAGCCGGCCUGAGAGGGCGCACGGCCACACUGGAACUGAAACACGGUCCAGACUCCUACGGGAGGCAGCAGUGGGGAAUUUUGCGCAAUGGGGGAAACCCUGACGCAGCAACGCCGCGUGGAGGAUGAAGUCCCUUGGGAUGUAAACUCCUUUCGAUCGGGACGAUUAUGACGGUACCGGAAGAAGAAGCACCGGCUAACUCUGUGCCAGCAGCCGCGGUAAUACAGAGGGUGCAAGCGUUGUUCGGAAUUAUUGGGCGUAAAGGGUGCGUAGGCGGUGCGGUAAGUUUGUGGUGAAAUCUUCAGGCUCAACUUGAAGACUGCCGCGAAGACUGCCGUGCUGGAGUAUGGGAGAGGUGAGUGGAAUUCCUGGUGUAGCGGUGAAAUGCGUAGAUAUCAGGAGGAACACCUGUGGCGAAAGCGGCUCACUGGACCAUAACUGACGCUGAUGCACGAAAGCUAGGGGAGCAAACAGGAUUAGAUACCCUGGUAGUCCUAGCCCUAAACGAUGAUUGCUUGGUGUGUCGGGUACCCAAUCCCGCCGUGCCGAAGCUAACGCGAUAAGCAAUCCGCCUGGGGAGUACGGUCGCAAGACUGAAACUCAAAGGAAUUGAC
rnacentral:rRNA from 1 species